rnacentral:rRNA from 1 species
CCUACGGGAGGCAGCAGUGAGGAAUAUUGGUCAAUGGGCGCGAGCCUGAACCCGCCAAGUAGCGUGAAGGAUGACUGCCCUACGGGUUGUACACUUCUUUUAUAGAGGAAUAAAGUGCGGCACGUGUGCCAUUUUGUAUGUACAUUAUGAAUAAGGAUCGGCUAACUCCGUUCACGAAGCAGACGUAAUACGGAGGUUCCGAGCGUGAUCCGGAUUUAUUGGGUUUAAAGGGAGCUAAGAUGGGUUGUGAAGUCAGUUGUGAAAGUUGGCGGCUAAACCGUAAAAUGGAAAUGGUUACUGGCAGCCUGGAGUACAUGUGAGGUAGGCGGAAGUCGUGGUGUAGCGGUGAAAUGCUUAGAUAUCACGAAGAAGUCCGAUUGCGAAGGCAGCUUACUAACCUGCCACUGACAUUGAUGCUCGAAAGUGUGGGUAUCAAACAGGAUUAGAUACCCCAGUAGUC